rnacentral:sRNA from 1 species
UCUGGGAAUGUGGGCACAUGCCUGUUGUUCUAGCACUUGGGAGGCUUAGGCAGCAGGAUCACUUGAGCCCAGGAUUUCAAGGACAGCCAGGACCACACAGUGAGAAUCUGUCUAAA